UUAACACAUGCAAGUCGAACGCUGAAACCUGAUGCUUGCAUCGGGUGGAUGAGUGGCGAACGGGUGAGUAACACGUGAGUAACCUGCCCCCGACUUCGGGAUAAGCCCGGGAAACUGGGUCUAAUACCGGAUAUGACCAACGCUCGCAUGAGUGUUGGUGGAAAGUCUUUUCGGUUGGGGAUGGGCUCGCGGCCUAUCAGUUUGUUGGUGAGGUAAUGGCUCACCAAGACGACGACGGGUAGCCGGCCUGAGAGGGCGACCGGCCACACUGGGACUGAGACACGGCCCAGACUCCUACGGGAGGCAGCAGUGGGGAAUAUUGCACAAUGGGGGAAACCCUGAUGCAGCGACGCAGCGUGCGGGAUGACGGCCUUCGGGUUGUAAACCGCUUUCAGCAGGGAAGAAGCCUUCGGGUGACGGUACCUGCAGAAGAAGUACCGGCUAACUACGUGCCAGCAGCCGCGGUAAUACGUAGGGUACAAGCGUUGUCCGGAAUUAUUGGGCGUAAAGAGCUCGUAGGUGGUUGGUCACGUCUGCUGUGGAAACGCAACGCUUAACGUUGCGCGUGCAGUGGGUACGGGCUGACUAGAGUGCAGUAGGGGAGUCUGGAAUUCCUGGUGUAGCGGUGAAAUGCGCAGAUAUCAGGAGGAACACCGGUGGCGAAGGCGGGACUCUGGGCUGUAACUGACACUGAGGAGCGAAAGCAUGGGGAGCGAACAGGAUUAGAUACCCUGGUAGUCCAUGCCGUAAACGUUGGGC
rnacentral:rRNA from 1 species